rnacentral:rRNA from 1 species
GGCCUGGCUGGGCGGUCUUGCCGCAAGGUAAGCACUGCUCUGGUCGGGCCUUUCCUUCUGGGGAACCAGCGUGCUCUUAAUUGAGUGCGUUGGGGAUCCAGGACUUUUACUUUGAAAAAAUUAGAGUGUUUAAAGCAGGCAAACGCUUGAAUACGUUAGCAUGGAAUAAUAGAAUAGGAC